AUUGAACGCUGGCGGCAUGCUUUACACAUGCAAGUCGAACGGCAGCGCGGGCUUCGGCCUGGCGGCGAGUGGCGAACGGGUGAGUAAUGCAUCGGAACGUGCCCAGUAGUGGGGGAUAGCCCGGCGAAAGCCGGAUUAAUACCGCAUACGACCUGAGGGUGAAAGCGGGGGACCGAAAGGCCUCGCGCUAUUGGAGCGGCCGAUGUCGGAUUAGCUAGUUGGUGGGGUAAAGGCUUACCAAGGCGACGAUCCGUAGCUGGUCUGAGAGGACGACCAGCCACACUGGAACUGAGACACGGCCCAGACUCCUACGGGAGGCAGCAGUGGGGAAUUUUGGACAAUGGGGGCAACCCUGAUCCAGCCAUGCCGCGUGCGGGAAGAAGGCCUUCGGGUUGUAAACCGCUUUUGUUCGGGAAGAAAUCCUCUGAGCUAAUACCCCGGGGGGAUGACGGUACCGGAAGAAUAAGCACCGGCUAACUACGUG
rnacentral:rRNA from 1 species